rnacentral:rRNA from 1 species
UUAAGUGUCGUAAGGGCAUUUGGUGGAUGCCUUGGCAUGCACAGGCGAUGAAGGACGUGAUACGCUGCGAUAAGCCGUGGGGAGCUGCGAAUAAGCUUUGAUCCAUGGAUCUCCGAAUGGGGAAACCCGG